AAUGAACGUUGGCGGCAUGGAUUAGGCAUGCAAGUCGAGCGAGAAGUGUAGCAAUACACGGAAAGCGGCGGAAGGGAGAGUAAUACGUGGGAAUCUGCCCUUAGACCUGGGAUAGCAGCGGGAAACUGCUGGUAAUACCAGAUAAUGUCUAUGGACCAAAGGUGUGAUUCCGUCUAGGGAUGAGCCCACGUCCUAUUAGCUAGUUGGUAGGGUAAUGGCCUACCAAGGCGAUGAUGGGUAGCGGGUGUGAGAGCAUGACCCGCCUCACUGGGACGGAGACACUACCCAGACACCUACGGGUGGCUGCAGUCGAGAAUCUUCGGCAAUGGGCGCAAGCCUGACCGAGCGAUGCCGCGUGCGGGAUGAAGGCCUUCGGGUUGUAAACCGCUGUCGAGGGGGAGCAACUUCCAUAGAGUUAUCUUUAUGGAUUGAGUGAUCCCUGGAGGAAGGACGGGCUAAGUUCGUGCCAGCCGCCGCAGUAAUAC
rnacentral:rRNA from 1 species